UUUCACAACUACCUUGUUCAGAACUUAAAGAGAAAUCUCGAGUUUAUGGACUUCAGGGGGAGUAUGGUCACAAGGCUGAAACUUAAAGGAAUUGACGGAAGGGCACACCAGGAGUGGAGCCUGCGGCUUAAUUUGACUCAACACGGGAAAACUUACCAAGACCGAACAGUAGAAGGAAUGACAGAUUAAGAGUUCUUUCAUGAUUUAUUGGGUAGUGGUGCAUGGCCGUUCUUAGUUGGUGGAGCGAUUUGUCAGGUUAAUUCCGGUAACGAACGAGACUGAGACCUAUUAAUUAGUUUCCUGCCUAUACGACAGGAAUCUCCGCAAGGUCAGGUGCCUCGGUACCACUUCUUAAAGGGACACAUUUCAAUUGUCUCAUUUUAAUCGAUGUCUCUGGCUCCGGUCAGAACUCUUUUAACGUGAGAAAAAGAAAAAGGAAGCAUUCAGCAAUAACAGGUCUGUGAUGCCCUUAGACAUCUUGGGCCGCACGCGCGC
rnacentral:rRNA from 1 species